AUGCAGAACGAGGUGGGUGAUAUGGUGGACCUCUAUGUCCCAAGGAAGUGCUCUGCCACCAACAGGAUCAUAACUGCCAAGGACCACGCCUCUGUCCAGAUCAACAUCGGGCAUGUGGAUGCGAAUGGACUGUAUAAUGGCAGUUUCACCACGUUUGCCCUCUCUGGAUUCGUCCGCGCCCAGGGUGAUGCCGAUGGUUCUUUGGACAGGCUCUGGCAGCAGAAGAGGGCUGAGAUCAAGCAGUAG
rnacentral:rRNA from 1 species